UGAGGAAUAUUGGGCAAUGCCCGCAAGGGUGACCCAGCAACGCCGCGUGGAGGAUGAAUGUCGUAAGAUUGUAAACUCCUGUUAGAGGGGAAGAAUAGUACCGGUUGGACCGGUAUAUGACUGUACCCUCAGAGAAAGCCCCGGCUAACUACGUGCCAGCAGCCGCGGUAAUACGUAGGGGGCAAGCGUUGUCCGGAUUUACUGGGUGUAAAGGGCGCGCAGGCGGGAUAAAAAGUCAGUGGUGAAAUCCUACAGCUUAACUGUAGAACUGCCUUUGAUACUUUUAUUCUUGAGUUCGGGAGAGAGAGACGGAAUUCCAGGUGUAGUGGUGAAAUACGUAGAUAUCUGGAAGAACACCGGUUGCGAAGGCGGUCUCUUGGUCCGACACUGACGCUGAGGCGCGAAAGCGUGGGGAGCAAAC
rnacentral:rRNA from 1 species